rnacentral:pre_miRNA from 1 species
AGUAAUACUGCUGGGUAGUAAGAUAAUCCUAUUUUUAAUUUUUAAGAAACUUCCAUGCUGUUUUCUAUAGUAGCUACACCAUUUCUUAUUUCCAUCAACAGU